AGUUAAUUAGCUUAUUUAUAAUAAAGCAUAUAUUUUGAAAAUAUAAGAUAGAAUUAAAUUUAUUAACUU
rnacentral:tRNA from 1 species